rnacentral:rRNA from 1 species
UGGGGAAUUUUGGACAAUGGGCGAAAGCCUGAUCCAGCAAUGCCGCGUGUGUGAAGAAGGCCUUCGGGUUGUAAAGCACUUUUGUCCGGAAAGAAAUCCUUGGCUCUAAUACAGUCGGGGGAUGACGGUACCGGAAGAAUAAGCACCGGCUAACUACGUGCCAGCAGCCGCGGUAAUACGUAGGGUGCAAGCGUUAAUCGGAAUUACUGGGCGUAAAGCGUGCGCAGGCGGUUUGCUAAGACCGAUGUGAAAUCCCCGGGCUCAACCUGGGAACUGCAUUGGUGACUGGCAGGCUAGAGUAUGGCAGAGGGGGGUAGAAUUCCACGUGUAGCAGUGAAAUGCGUAGAGAUGUGGAGGAAUACCGAUGGCGAAGGCAGCCCCCUGGGGCCAAAUACUGACGCUCAUGCACGAAAAGCGUGGGGGAGCAAAACAGGAUUAGAUACCCCUGGUAGUCCACGCCCUAAACGAUGUCAACUAGUUGUUGGGGAUUCAUUUCUUAGUAACGUAGCUAACGCGUGAAGUUGACCGCCUGGGGAGUACGGUCGCAAGAUUAAAACUCAAAGGAAUUGACGGGGUCAUAGCUGUUUCCU